CCCGACGGUCUCUCCUCUCCCGAGCUCGCUCCUCACCGCGCCGCCGCCGUCCUUCUCCCCAGCACCGGCACCGCCAUGGAAUAGCGCAACUUGGCGUUGGCGGUGGCCUCCGUAAGCCUUCCUCUGUUGCCGCCGCCUCCCACCAGUCUAUGUGGCCUCAAUGAAACCCUAGCGUCGCGAGGCAACUCUGGCGGCGCAACCCUCUGGCCUCUUCCUCAUCAGCGGCAACGGCGACGGUGAUGCUCAACGGCUGGAUCUACCGAAGCCUGCGUCGGCAGCGGUAGCUCCAUCUGCUUGCUUCCUGCUCAGAAGGCUGGAUCAUCAUCCUAUCAAUUGUCAUGUUCUUCAAG